UACGUAGGUGGCGAGCGUUGUCCAGAAUUACUGGGUGUAAAGGGCGUGUAGGCGGGGAAGCAAGACAGAUGUGAAAUCCCGGGGCUCAACUCCGGAGUUGCAUCUGAAACUGUUUUUCUUGAGUGCUGGAGAGGAAAGCGGAAUUCCUAGUGUAGCGGUGAAAUGCGUAGAUAUUAGGAGGAACACCAGUGGCGAAGGCGGCUUUCUGGACAGUAACUGACGCUGAGGCGCGAAAGCGUGGGGAGCAAACAGGAUUAGAUACCCCCGUAGU
rnacentral:rRNA from 1 species